AACAAACACAAAUUAUAUACAGUGCAAUCCUAUACAUGUCUAUCCAAAAGGAAGCCCCAUUGAGUCAACUGGGACUCACUCUCAAGUAAGUGGGUCUAGAACUGCAGUCAUAUGUCAAGUUAUCUGCUAAUUGCACUCAAUGGCAACCCCAUGUUUGCCCCUCUGUGUUGGCCUGAAGCCAGAAAUUGAGAGUUUGUGGCCCUCCAGAGUUGGUGGAUUCCCAUCAGCCCCAGCCAGCCAAUAACCAGGGAUGGUGAAAACCCUAAUCCAGUCACAUCUGAAGGUCACAGGUUCCCUAUCCCUGCCUUGAGCUUUCAAGCUACUAAAAUCAAAUCCAAAUUUUGAGUCAUGGCAAUGUUUAUUCAUCCUGCAACCCUUCUUUGGGGGAUAAAUUAAAUAUCCGGCCAUUUAUUAUUCUGGGUUCCUUAAAUGAAUCCUUUCUUUUUUUACUUUCCGUUCAACUGUUAAAACACUCUCCACCCCCCACCCUGCACACACAUAUACCCUUGGCCAAAUAUUCCCGUCUUGUGUUUCGGCUGCCCACAGGCCACAAGCCACUUAACAUUUGUGCCACUUCAAAGUAAACAGUCUGUGAACUGCAGCUGUUCUCUUUCUCAAUAGUGUCAUUAAGCGUUGCAGUAUAGGAGCCCCAUUAAGUUUCCUCCACAAUGAAACCAUUAUGUAAAGGCAAAAGGAUCUCAUAACCCAGUUUGUUUUGUCAGAAACCUGAGGCUAGCCAACUGCCAGAGAACACAGGCAUUCUUCAGGUUCAGUGUGGGUAACUUUGAAGGUGGCGUCCCGACCCCCCCCCCACCCGCCACUCACCCACCCACCUUUGCAGCAGCAUCAGGUCUUGGCAUGCCAGUUGCUGAAGGCAACACCUUUCAGAGACUUUACACCAUUAAAGUACCUCUGUUUCUGCUCUCUCCCCCCCCCUCUCUUUUAAACUGGAAUAGGUUAAAGCUGUCAAACUAAAGCCCUUGCCAGAUUAUCACUGAAGUAGUUACACCGUGCUCAGCAAAAUUCCACAGAGAAUGUAUUUAUUUCCUGCCUUUAACUUCUGUGUUGUGCUGUGGGAUAUUAAACUCCUUAUUGUGGCUGUAUUCCAAAUUAGGUUUUCAUCUCAAAAUGCCCUUUUUUUAAAGGACACAAAGGAGCUAUGAAGUUCACUUUCCAGGGAGUUCUAUACAGCAAAGAUACUUUGACAGUGUGAUCAACUGAAUUCCGUCUCCAUUGUUCCAUUGGCCUAUAGGGGGUUCAGUUAGGGAUUUCACAGUGCUGUGGUGAAAUUCUCUUUCAUGAAAAUGCACAGAGCAGUACUAUGCAUGGUUCUCUGGAAGCCUUUCCCAACCUAGUGGCCUCUGGAUAUUCUUGGACUCCAACUCCAAUUACUCCCAGCCAGCAUGGCCAAUGGUCAGGGUCUAUGGCAGUUGUAGUCCAAUAUCACCUGAAGAGUAGAGGUAGGGCUAGAUCACUGGUAUGUUCUGUGGAGGUGAGGAUUAUUUGUAUUCUGUUGGGUUCUAUGUUGUCUGGUGAACUAUCUAGAAUUCUGAGAAACUUCUGUUGUACAAAAAAGACCUGUUCGACUACAUUGCUCUCUGGAAUACCCUGUUUCAAGGUUCUGAUGAAUGGGUGUAUAGUUCUAUUAACUCAGGGGUGUUCUCUGACAAAGAUACGGGGUAUUCUUUAUUAUGUAUCCAUUUGUGUGUUUGUCCGCAUACACAUACAUGAGAUCUAAUAGAUAAAUACAGGCAUAUAAGUAAAUUGGGGGAGAUAUAACCCUUCCUGGCUUUCAUUCAGGUUCAUUUACACAAUGGCAGAGACAGAGAUUUAAAAGCUCCUGAGUCCUAGAACAGUUGUAAGUCACUUUGGAUUGCCUUGGGUAAGAUAAAGCAACUGAUAAAUUUUAAUAAUAGUGCUGGUGGUCGUGAUGGACAACCUGUAGUCCUCCAUAUGGUUUUGAACUGCAGCUGAGGUUGAUGGGAGUUGGAGACCAAUAACUGGUACCCUAUCCCUGUCUUUGAAGAAGGCCAAGCCAAUUGACUGUGCUCAUGUUUUAAAUAUUAUUCUUCACUCCAGUUCUGUCUUUGCUAGCAAAUCAGUGGCAAAUUAGAGGUGAUCGGAAUCUGCUUCUUGACAGCAAGCAAUGAGAAAAGGUUGUGCACCUCUUGAGAUCUCUAUAAGGCCUUCUAGCCAUCACAAAGUAGCCUGGGAUCAGCCCAGGGACUGGGGGCACAUGCUGUAAGUUCCCAUGGGCUCCUAUGGGAGGAAGCAGGGUAUAGAAACAACGGCAGCCACAACAACAUUGUGAUGAUUAACGCACUAGAUGAAAUUGUGACUGGCAAGUGCAUCAUUUGAUCUGCUGCCUGCUAGAGAUAGCCACUUCUAAAGUUCCAUUUCUGCCAUGAGGUCAUGCGGUUUCCUUGAGCUAGCCACCACUGAACACCUAGCCUUGAUUUUGCUGUACUUGCUUCAGUGGCCUGAUAGAUAAAAGAGUUGGAUUUGAAUCUGGGAGAUCUGGUCAGAAGUUCUGUCUUCUGUCGUGGAGGCAUGCUGUUCCCUUGCACAAGGCGCGAUCUCUUUGCCUCAGUUCCCUGAACCUACCUCACUAGCUAGUGUGACUUGUGCCUAUUUGGGGCAUACCCAGUGUUUGAUAGGUGGGUGCCUUAAACUCCACCCCAACAAGCAACCCCUUGGCCAUUCAGAAGAAGCACAGUACAUGUGUAUGUGGUCCUAUCUUGGUCUGGCAAAAUGCCCAGAGGAAGAGAGUGGGCGUUACGCUGCCAGGCAUCUCUGCAGGGCCAUCACUUGCAUUACAAUAGUAGUUCCAUGUGUAUUAUGCAGUUGUGACCAAUCUUUUUUGAUGAGUACGCCACCAAAUCCAAUCUAAAACUGAGAGGGUGCCACAUCCCAAAUGAAUGCAGCUGUUUCACCUUCAUCCCACUUAUGACUCAGUGUGGUUUUGCUUCUGGGCCUGAUGAGAUGAAAAGUGUUGGAGAAGCAAGCACAACUGUAGAUAUGGCUUUUUGCCGUGACCUUUCCAGGAGUGCCACACUUCCCUGCUACUCAUGCCACAGGUUGCUCAGCUGUGAUGGUUAAUGGGUGAUCCUGAACUUCAUGAUUUGCAACUUCAUGAACUGAUUUGCAAUUGAGAAGGAGAUUCUGCAUUAGCCAUAUGGUGGCUGUUUGCUCCUUCUGUCUCCCAAAAUACGACCUGUGAACACACACCAAAAUUGAUGUCCUGUGUGUGUGCGCGCUUUUUAAAAAAGUGCAUAGACGAUGCAUAGACUGGUGACUAGAGCUGUGCUGCUUUUCAUGGGACCUGGUUACUUUUGGAGGAGAAAGCACUGGGGAACUGUUCUAUAAUCAGUUUGUUUUCAGAUUCAUAGAGCAGAUAUGGCAGGGAUCCCAGAACAAACAGCUUUAGAUGUGUAUCAACCCAGAGCAAAUGUAAGUAAACUCCAAACAGAUCACCCACCUUUGAAAUCUCUCUGUAACUUUCCUAAUUAGCUCAAAACUCAAAAAUGGUUGUUUCAAGCUGUCUGUUCUCUGCACCUUUUGCUCUAAUGGGUUGAAUUAGUUUCACAGUUUAUUCCCACCUUAGCCAAGAUGAUUCUCAUCUGUCAUGAGGUUAGGUCCAGCUUCUGUGCUUAAAUUUGGGAGAGGAGUGGGGGACAUUGGGGAAUGUCUAUGGAGGAGAUAAACCCGAGUGAUUUAUGGAAAGAUACAAUUGUUUUUGCCAAGAAUGGUGAAAUCAUGAGUGUGGGUAUGUUGUCACAAACCACCUUGGAAGCUGCAAAGGCAGAAUGUGUAGUUGUUCCCAUUAGUUUGGGUUUCUUGAAUGCUGCUGAUGCAUUUUGGCAUCUGAAAGAUGAAUUUCCCAAAUUCGACAAAAUGUUAGCACCUGCUGUUAGGGAUCAGUCAAGCCGUGUCAAAACUAAAAGGAAUAAUAGGACUGCAUGCCUUAGUCAUCUCUUCCUCUAUGACAUAGAUAGUCUGUGUGAAUAUAGGCAAACAGUGGCUGUUACAGGAAGUUAUGUGUUCCAGGGAGACUGCCUCUCAAUUACAGUCAGCUCGCCCUGAUGACAAGCACUAAUUAGCCAUGAUACCCAAAAGAUUUAUCUUUGUGCAACACUUAAAUAUCCACAAAUAUUUAAUACAAAACUCUAAAUAGGAAUUGGUAUAUCACAUGCACAUCAUAGAUUUAAAGCACAUUUAUACCAUUUUAACACUCAUGACUUCCCUCAAAGAAUCCUGGGAACUGUCAUCUAUCCCUCACAGAGCUACAGUUCCCAGCAUCCUUAAUGGACUAUUAUUGUUCCCAGCAUUCUUUGGGGGGAGCCAUGUACUUUAAAUGUGUGAGCUCCAGUGGAAGAUUUCUGCCCAGGCAGAGUGGGGGCCAAUUUCAUUUGAGCCCAAAGUGGUGGCAAAUAGUUAAAACUCCCCUUCCCCCAUGUCAUGGUUCUGACCUGAUUUGAGGCCCUCCAUACUAGCUAUUGGUUACAGAAAAAAACAAAUACUCAAGGGCAACUUACAUCACAUCCUUAGAUUUUAAUCCUAAGAACUGCUUUGUAGCAUGUGGGAAACUGCAAAGCUUUCUUCCAGGUAAAUAUGUUUACUAUUUUGGCAUGCAAGUUAUUGAGCAGCAAUGUCCACUGUGCAGAUGGCAAUCAAGUAGAGGCAAAUUAUUUGGAAGACGGCAUUAUGAAUAGAAAAGGGUUUUUGUUUUUUUCAAAUACUGUAAUGAAACAAGUUUCUUGCACUAAGGAAAUAAACAUGCAAGGACAGCAAUUUAUUUUACUCAUCUCUCGGAAGCAGAAAAAGAGGAUGCCAUGUACACAAUGCCAGCAGCCUAUCAUAUGAAUGUCGGUUUGCUAAUACGCUACCAUUUUGACGUUAGCAUUGAACUGGCUUUUUUUAACUGUCAAAACAAAAGGUUUUGUUUUCAGCAUAAUAUAUUCAGUAGGCGGCAUGGAGUGAAUCACAUAUGUUCAAUCACGCAAUUAGAUGCUGAAUGUCUCAUGUAAUUUUCCAAGAGCACACCUUAGAAUAUUUUAAGCACCAGUCCUCCUCUUGCUCAUUCUCUUAAACCCUCUCAACGAGAUUAGGAUCCAUACUUUUGCCAAAUGUAAUUUUGCAAAUCUGUUUUGCACAUUGUAUUAGACGCACAGCAACAUUUGAGACAAGCAAGUUGUCGUUUUAAUUGUGUUACUCAAAAACGGGCUAAUCUGAUUUGCUCUUCAGGCGUAAAAUCAUUAGCUCUUUCCCGGGAGCCAACUGUACGUGACUUGGUUGAUCUAAAGCCAAGAAGCUGGUAGCUCAAGAAGAUAAUUGAGACAGGUUUAACUGAUACUAUACAGUCAUUAAAAGAUGAAUCCUGCCUCCCAUACAGAUCUUCUUAUUACUGACUUGACUGGGAGAGGGAGAGGGCUCAUAGUAGGACAAAAUGCAUCACCAUCACAUAUAAUCUCUUUAAAUUUUUACAGGUCUGUAUUAAUUCUCAAUUAGAAUUAGAAGUUUCAAUAUGAAAAUGUUUUAUAUGUCUUCCAGAUUGUAUGGCAUGUUCUGGGACGCCGCAAAUUUCUGAGCCAUAAAGCCCAUUGCUCUCUGCUACACUAGAGGCCACUUUGCACAAUUAGCCAUUGAACUCUCCAUCAACCUCUUUUGCUUAUAAUUUCAAGAAGUAGAGUGCGAAGAGCCCUGGAAAGAUCAGGGGAUCUUGAUUUAGCACUUCUUCUUUGUGGAAUUAAAGACCCUUGAAACAUUAUCUGAACUGUGUGGGAGUGAACAAGUUAGAUGAGUACUGCUCUACAAAGUUUAAAUGACAACCCCCCUAAUGUGGGCUGUGACUGAACUCAUGGGUCUUUCCCAUGGAAACUGUACUCACCUGGUAUGAUUUUCUAGGUUCUGUAUCCUUGGUCUAGAGAAAAAACUGAAAGGUAUGGAGUUGUUAGUGCAACUUGCCUGGGGUCCAGUACAGUGGUACUUUGGGUUACGUACUUAAUUCAUUCCGGAGAUCCGUACUUAACCUGAAACUGUUCUUAACCUGAAGCACCACUUUAGCUAAUGGGGCCUCCUGCUGCUGCUGUGCCGCCGGAGCACAAUUUCUGUUCUCAUCCUGAAGCAAAGUUCUUAACCUGAAGCACUUUUUUGGGGUUAGCGGAGUCUGUAACCUGAAGCGUAUGUAACCUGAAGCAUAUGUAACCCGAGGUACCACUGUAUUGGUAUUUUUCUACAACAGCCUUAUGGGACUUAUAGUUCAUAACAUCUGAAGGACACAAGGCUGAAGAAGCCUGGUGUAGAAGACUCUGGAAAGUCUUAUGUGUGUAUUUUGACUUGGAUAAUAACCCCUAAGUGCUCGUCAGUAAACAAGCCCUGUGUUAAAUCUACCCUAAUGCCUGGGUAGGUACAUACACAGAGCUUAUUUGUCCCAUCCUGUCUCUCCCUAAAACAUUCUGCUAUAGUUUCCUGGACUUGUUAAAUUUUUGUUCUAAUUGACCUGUUCCCCUGGCUGUUUUCAGAAGGAGCAACUACUCUGCUUCCCCAAAUAUGUCAGAUUGCAUAGGGGUCCCCUCAUUGGUUCUGUCUCCUUGCCUGCCCUGGCUGAAUUCCCUGGGCCUGAGUUGGCUUCAUCUCCUAGACCUGUUCAGAGGCCCCAUGUCAUUGAAUGAACCCUACUCAUGGCUUGAUGGAGAUAGUUAAAAAUGCAAACAUAGGUUUUGCCUGGUUGCAAACAUCAACAUUCAGGCCAUAGGCUAUUAAAAUUCAUGGAAAAAACCUGGGGCAAAGAAGAAAAUGGAAAAUAAUAGGAAGGUCCUGUUUAUGCCUUACAAAUCCAAAUUAUAUACCUCUUUUGAAAGGGAUAGAUCUUGAUUCAUGAUGUGAUUGGAAUUUCCCCUGUAUUAUCUGUACCAAAUCAGGAUACAUAGCAAUGUGUGUGUUUUUGUGUGGCUUUGUGAGAGAGGACGUUAUUGAAAUGCUUAAAACAAUAGCAAUUGCAGUGUUCAGGCUUAUUGACAUGAUGUUAGGAGAUUGCAGAGCUGGUCCAUCUGCUAAUCAACAUUUAGAUUGGUAUAUGGAAGUAGACCACCUAUAUCAAGAGAGCGUGGAAAUGACACUUAAUGCUUUAGUUUUUUGGUGUGUGUAUGUUUUUAAAGGGAUUCACUGAGGUCAUAUCUUACUUGCCUUACUCCAAGGUUCAAGAUUUCAGUGAGCAAGAUUUGGUGUCUAUAGUUCAGUCAUCACAGUCUGAAUGUAGGCACAACAUCAGUUAGUUUCAGUGAAAUCAAUUCCUUCCGACAAAAAAGUAGUUUUUGUGCCAAUUCAGCCUACUUUGUAUACAUCUGAAAGUCAGCUGAGUGACAUUAGAGGUGACUGUAGCCUAUUCAAUCUACCAUGUACUGGGUGAGUUUUGUUGCUUCACAAGGAUUGCAUUGGUAGGUAGCCAACAAGUGGCUGUAUUUGUAUUCUGUAAAAUGGUCUUGCAGCACAAACAAGUUAAGCCUCUAUAGCUGGACUCAAGCUACAUUAGCCUUGUCUGCUUUAACUGCCAGCACUCUGGCUUAACUGCUAUGUGGAUCAUGGCUAUAGCGACUUCGCAAUAAAAUAAGGUAAAGAACAUUCUUUGGAGCAUACCAGGGUAAAUAAAGUAGUAAAAUGUGUUGCAUCUUGAUUUUUUUUUUAAUGAAGCUUGUUUGUAUAUAUUAAUAUGCACAUUUAAACACCAGAGGAUACAUUACAAGUCCUCCUCUAUUCAUACUGGAUUAGUUUGUUGAUGGUGCUGUGCACUACUGCAUUAAAGGGAUCCAGAUUCUUGAGGAUGUGGUUCUAAAGCUGUGGUUUUCAACUUUUCUACCUUUAGGGAAGCCUUUUCACAUCAGCUUGUGUACUGAAGGGCUCCUGGUCACCUGCCAUUGGCCUGGUUUACAUUUAACAUUAAGCCAUUGUUGGUUUAGCCACCAGUUUGUUUCACAGAUGAUUAAAUAAACCAUGGCUUGAUUCUCCAAAGCUUGAUUUGUUUUCCAGCUGCUUUUGCUGUUGUAGAUUAGUGUCGGGGUUUGGGGGAGGGAGAAACCAUGGUUAAGGCAGAGUGCUUGGUUUGCAUAUAACACCAAGCCAUAGUUAAAACAAACCAAGAUUCAUAACCCAACAACAAACUAUGGCUGUGGUUUCUGGGUAGUAAACAAACCAUAGGCAGGCUUCAGGUUAUCAAAUAAACAAUGGAUUAAGAAACUAUGGUUUAAUUAACCAUGACUUAGUGUUGUGUGUGAACUAGGCCAUUAUUGCAGAGGAUCUGGGGGCAUUUUCUUGGGAACACUACUAAAUGUUGAGGCAACCUACUACUCCCCAUCAACUAAGAGUGCCCCUUGGAAAACAGACAACACUCCCCUGCAACUCCAGAUGGAGAGAGCAGAUUAUAGUGGUGGGCAACCUUUCAGGUAAGCUUCUUUGUCAUAAUUGUGCUAAUCAAGGAUUCCUUGCUGAAAAAAUCAGCUAUGGUGGACAAGUUUUACUGGAAAUCUUGCCCAUCACUGUAGGUGCUAUCACUCCCUGGAACAGAGUUUGAAAACCAUUGUUUAAAGGGUGUUAGAACCAGACUACAGCAUGCUUGGCAUCAAGCAAAAAGAGGAUGUAUGUGGCAACCUCUCACUUCAAAUGAUCCAAGGACUAUGGAUUAGAAUCAAUAUUGGCUUUGGAGGUGGACACUUGUGUUGCUGACUCCUGCCCCAACUCCCAGCCAAUGGUUAAGUGCCUCAUUUACAGGGAUCUAAGGUAGAAAUCUCAAAGAGUUUAUAUUGGUGGUCUGUAUCGGUAGUUAAAUACUCCAAAUCCUAUUUUUGGACGUCUAUAAUAAGGACCCCAUAGGGUAGAGUGGGGUGCUUCAACGGAACACAGAAGGGACCACACAAACAGCAACAAAAAUAUAAGUGUAUGUAUAUAUUUAUCUAUAGCCUAAUGUUUCUGUAUUUGAAUGGUUUUUGGAAAUGUCAACAAGUGAUUGUUCCUAUUGUGUUUACUGCUCUGAAAUUCUUUGCAUGACUUCUGGCAUAAUAAAAUUCUUUAAUAAGGAAGUUAUCUACAUCUAUAUACAUAUAUCUAUAUAUAUUGUUAGCCUGCGAAACAUUAUUGUCAGAUCAGCCAUGUUUUGUGCAAAUUGUAUAUUUCUGUUGUAAGAGCACCAUUGGAAUUUGACUUUGAAUUAGUUGUUGGCAUUAAAAUAUGUUUUUAUGGAU